GAUGAACGCUGGCGGCGUGCUUAACACAUGCAAGUCGAACGAAGCACCUUGAUUUGAUUCUUCGGAUGAAGAUCUUGGUGACUGAGUGGCGGACGGGUGAGUAACGCGUGGGUAACCUGCCUCAUACAGGGGGAUAACAGUUAGAAAUGACUGCUAAUACCGCAUAAGACCACAGCACCGCAUGGUGCAGGGGUAAAAACUCCGGUGGUAUGAGAUGGGCCCGCGUCUGAUUAGGUAGUUGGUGGGGUAACGGCCUACCAAGCCGACGAUCAGUAGCCGACCUAGGAGGUUGAGCGGCCACAUUGGGACUGAGACACCGCCCAAACUCCUACGGGAGGCAGCAGUGGGGAAUAUUGCACAAUGGGGGAAACCCUGAUGCAGCGACGCCGCGUGAGCGAUGAAGUAUUUCGGUAUGUAAAGCUCUAUCAGCAGGGAAGAAAAUGACGGUACCUGACUAAGAAGCACCGGCUAAAUACGUGCCAGCAGCCGCAGUAA
rnacentral:rRNA from 1 species